rnacentral:rRNA from 1 species
UACGAAGGGGGCUAGCGUUGCUCGGAAUCACUGGGCGUAAAGCGCACGUAGGCGGCUUUCUAAGUCAGGGGUGAAAUCCUGGAGCUCAACUCCAGAACUGCCUUUGAUACUGGAGAGCUUGAGUCCGGAAGAGGUGAGUGGAACUCCGAGUGUAGAGGUGAAAUUCGUAGAUAUUCGGAAGAACACCAGUGGCGAAGGCGGCUCACUGGUCCGGUACUGACGCUGAUGUGCGAAGGCGUGGGGAGCAAACAGG